GGGGCUGUCUUUGGUUUCGACGAAAAUAUUUGGGCUUAAUUAGCAAGACGAGUAUCUCUUACGUUACAAGAGUGAAAUUAAAUAUAACUGGAAACAGCUAUACAAACGCUGUUGCUUAUGCCUAACCUAUAGGUAGCGACAGGUUCUACUAAUUCUUUGUCUGUGAGAAUUAGAUAGGACUUAUAAAGCAGACUAUAUUAUGAUUUUUGUUUAGACUUCAUAACGAAUAAACAUAAACUAGUAAGCAAUUAUGAUUGUAAGUUAUCUACUUGCUUAUGAAUUUUAAUAACUUACUAAUCUUGUAGAAGGUUAAGCUACUGUAUUUGCGGACAGGGGUUCGAUUCCCCUCAGCUCCACCA
rfam:Clostridium sp. CAG:302 genomic scaffold, scf13